rnacentral:rRNA from 1 species
AGUUGUUGUGGUUAAAAAGCUCGUAGUUGGAUCUCAGCUUAUUCGUCAUGGUCCACUUGACGGUGGUUACUGUGGUGAUGAGCAAUUUAUCGCAUUGUCUUAUGGUGUUCUUAAUUGAAUGUCAUAAGCGAUCGAUACGUUUACUUUGAAAAAAUUAGAGUGCUCAAAGCAGGCAUUAUUUGCCUGAAUACUGUUGCAUGGAAUAAUAGAAUAGGACCUUGGUUCUGUUCUGUUGGUCUUCGGAAUCGAGGUAAUGAUUAAGAGGGACGGACGGGGACAUUAGUACUGCGGCGAUAGAGGUGAAAUUCUUGGACCGCCGCAUGACUAACAAAAGCGAAAGCAUUUGUCAAGAACGUUUUCAUUAAUCAAGAACGAAAGUUAGAGGUUCGAAGGCGAUCAGAUACCGCCCUAGUUCUAACCAUAAACGAUGCCAACCAGCAAUCAGCCAGAGUUAAUUGUAUGACUCGGCUGGCGGCUUCCGGGAAACCAAAGUUUUUCGGUUCCAGGGGAAGUAUGGUUGCAAAGCUGAAACUUAAAGGAAUUGACGGAAGGGCACCACCAGGAGUGGAGCCUGCGGCUUAAUUUGACUCAACACGGGAAAACUCACCCGGUCCGGACACUGGAAGGAUUGACAGAUUAAGAGCUCUUUCUUGAUUCAGUGGGUGGUGGUGCAUGGCCGUUCUUAGUUGGUGGAGCGAUUUGUCUGGUUAAUUCCGAUAACGAACGAGACUCUAGCCUACUAAAUAGUGUUGUAUACCUUCGGUUAUAUGCGAACACUUCUUAGAGGGACAAAGGGCGUUUCAGCCCAUAAGAAAAAGAUAAAAAACAGGUCUGUGAUUCUCUUAUUUUCUGGGGCUGCCGCCCUCUACCUAAAAACAGCAGAUGAAUUUUGUUUUCUCUCUCCAAAAGGGUGGAAA